UAUUGGGCGUAAGGGCUCGCAGGCGGUUUCUUAAGUCUGAUGUGAAAGCCCCCGGCUCAACCGGGGAGGGUCAUUGGAAACUGGGGAACUUGAGUGCAGAAGAGGAGAGUGGAAUUCCACGUGUAGCGGUGAAAUGCGUAGAGAUGUGGAGGAACACCAGUGGCGAAGGCGACUCUCUGGUCUGUAACUGACGCUGAGGAGCGAAAGCGUGGGGAGCGAACAGGAUUAGAUACCC
rnacentral:rRNA from 3 species